rnacentral:lncRNA from 1 species
CUAUUGCUGUUUACCCAUUCUUGUCCUCCUAGAUAAGGACUACUGAGUAAGAACCUGCUUUGUCAACUCCUGCCACUCAGGUAUGCUGCAGUGAAUCUAAUGAGUCUCCUGUCCCUUUGAACCAUGGUUUCAGGAUGCCAUUCUGAGAAUUGUUUGAGACUGAGGCACAGUCAUUCCUCCAUAACUACAGGAAAUUGAUUCCAGGAUCCCAUGUAGACACAAGAAUCUGCAGAUGCUCAAGCUCCUUAUAUAAAAUGGUAUA